UCCGGGAUAGCUCAGUUGGCAGAGCAGCUGACUGUUAAUCAGCGGGUCGCAGGUUCGAGCCCUGCUCCCGGAGCCA
rnacentral:tRNA from 3 species